GCAGUUGAGAGAAGGAAGUACAUUUACAGGAUCCUCGGUGGGGAUAAUGUUAGGCUAAGGUCCUCUUUUGCCCCCAGCAGAGUGUCAUCAUCGGGGCAGCUGAGCUCCUGGAGGGAGGUCACUCUUGGUUUCAAGGACUUGUCGAUGGGCUGUAGGCAGCAAGGGAAUUUAGUUUUUCAUUUGCCUGAGUUUCCCCGCAGCACCAGGGCAACAAACCCCUUGGCUUUGUUCUUGGGGGGCCGGGAGUCUCCGAGGAAUAUUCUACCCGGGGGUGGGGAUAGGGGCGCUGUUAGCCUGUACUUUGUGAUCAGGGAGCUUGCCCCACGCUCCCUAAUCACGUUCCUCCCUCCCUUCAUUUCCCAGUCCUUUCCACAAAGGAUUCGAAGAGGUCGAAAACACUAGAAUCUGAAUUUCACUGGAUGGUCCAGAAUGGAUGUCAUCUCAUCUUUUCAGAUUUUGGUGCAGAAAAAACCCAGCCUCCUUGCAUACAGUUUCAUACAUGGAUGAACACAUGGGGUCUGGAGGAAGGACACAUGCCCAGCGACUGGUCGGGAGGAAUUGGACUCUCCAUCUGAGAUCUGCUUACCUUGGCAAUUAUCGGCUUGAGUCGGGAUGACAUUCGGGGCUAGACUGCCUCCGCAACAGUGCUCCCCAGAUUCGUGUGUUUGUCAAGCACGUUCGCACUCUAGCCCCGCGCAUGAUCAUGAAAAAGAGAAGGGGACAUAAUAACCCUUUGGGCAGCAGUCCGGUGUCUGGGAUCUCGCCCAGCUCCAGAGCUGGUAAAUGCUGACGGAGACACGGUCGCACUGCUGACGGGAGCGUGAGGCACACACGGCUCUGAGACGGUCACACUCACGAGAUCAACUGUUUAUUGAUUUUUUUCCUAAAAUACUAUCCAUUUAAAGAAACUCCUAACUGAAAAGACUUGACAAUUUUUGGUAGAUCUGUAGCAAAGGAAUGAGGAUUUCUGCUGGUAAGUUUUCAUGACAAAACAGACACACACCCACUUUCCAAGCAAGACCUCAAGCUCACUGGAAACGUUGAGAAAAUGCAUAGCUUGUGAUGGCGGCGGCCAUUCCAACAAUGUCUGAGUUACACAAAAUAAAGGUUUUCCCUCCUUCCCUCCCUCCCCUGCCCUGUCAUUACAGUGUGGCUCCUGCCCCAGCACGUCUGCUCCCGAUGACCACGGCUGCUCAGAAGAGACCCCCGUGCUCUGGGGUGAGACCCAGCUUUCGUGCACUCACGAGGAAUAAAGGAGGACUGUGGACCCUGCGGCUGCCGCAAAGACACGGGAGUCUGUACAGUGUUCUGCUACGGAAAGGACUAAGGCUAGUCAGAAGGUGGACCCACAGCUGGCCGGCGAGGACACGCUUCCCCACAGCUGUCUCCACUGCAGAGGCCCAGGGCCGCGUCCCGAGCCCAGAGGAGGCCUGGCCCACCGGCCAGGCCUGUGCCCGAAUGUCACAGUCUUCAAGCGGUUCAGUUAAACCCACUGUCAAAAGCCGUUACGUCUCAUUAAAACAGUAGGCGAACUCUUUAGAUUCUCUGAAUAUCAAAUAAUAUAUACAGAUAUACACCGAGAGAGGACAGUCUGAUGUAAAGCAUCUCCGGCUACAGAUGCGUGUGUUUGAAAAGUUAGUCUUACUUUUUAACCUUCCAAAUCACUGACAAAAUCGUUAACCGGCAAGAGUAGAAUCUUAAACACAAAUAGGAUGAAAAGAGCUUUUAAAUAUGGCGACGAGGGGAGUACGACGUAAGGUUAUCCCCGAAACUCAUGGAGGACGCCCCGACGCGGACAGCAUUCACGGCCGUGUCCAGCCCGAUGCGCUCCUGCCUUCCCACCGCUCUCUCUUGCCUCCCAGGCCGCCCGCCCCUCUCGAUGAGCCGCGGCAGGACCUACCGGGCAGCACGGGAACAGACCCCCCCCGCAGGACUGGUGUAUAUCAAUCUGUGCCAUCGUUUAAGCAUAAAUGAGUGGAAGAACAGGCAUGUAAAAAAAGCAUCACUGUACACAGCCUUUAAACGAAGGACCUCAAAGUCCUCACUCGAGUGAAGCGUCCACUAGAGUUGCGGGUGAGGAGACUCGUCGGAGAAAGUCAUCGGCGGAGCGAGGAUCAGCGGAAGCCACUGCCGACUCGGAGGAGGAAAGGAGGAAAGACGAGGGCGAGGCUACACAGAUCCGUGAAAAGCCAGCACAGCACGCACAGCGGGCGGGCCGGGGGCCGGGGCGCUUUCCGUCCUCCUGUGGCUUCCUGCGCUCAGACCUCUCCGUCGGCACCGCGUGCGGGAAGGGUGCCGAGUCCCGGGUGAAAUGACCGGCUCGUCCGCCUUCGAGAGACACCAUGAAGCCAAGAGCAACGGAACCGUCAGCUUUUGCAGGAAAAGGGGCGGACGCUCACACGGCCGGCUGGUGCCGGGGGUGUCGCUGCCCGGGCCCGCUGCCUCCACCCUCCGCCGGCCAGCCGGCUGGCCCGUCACUGGAUUGCCUCGACGUAAUUCGCGGGGUACAGGCCGACCUGUCCGUUGUCCAAGCGUCCCUUGCACCAGCCCUGCUCAUCCUCGUCCUCGAUCUUGGUCAGCUCGUCCCCUUCAAGACAAGAAGGGAGCGGUCCUGGUGAGCGGGUGGGUGACAGGCUGACCGCCCGGUUAGAGUCGCCCUCGUGGCUCAGCCCCCACCCUGGGCCCACGGAGGGUCUCGGACCUGGGGGGAAGGGGCAGGCAUUCUCUGGGGGACAAAGCGGGGCCUGCGGCCUGGUUAUUUCUCUACUAGGCUGCAUCUGAAGCCGUCCUUUCAGCCACAGGGGCCUCUGAGAGGUGUCAUGGCUGCCAUCUCUCAGUGACCCUAAAACAAGCAGCUCCCACAGACACUGCAGAAUUAAAUGCCACAGGCCCGUGCUUCCUGACCGUCCCAGGCCAGGUCAGAGGAAUCCCUUCCGAGGGUCCACACCACCCCUCCUCCACCCUCUCCUGCUGUCCUCCCUCCCGGGCCCUGGCCCACUCGGUCUGGUAUCCCCUCCAGCACUUACUGCCCUGCCUCAUGCCUUCGUUUCAUCUGUGUCCAGAGCAGGCUGUGAGAAGGGCAGGGACCCAUCACUCGGUCCCCAGCGCCCAGCUCGGGGCAUUUGUCCUCAACCCCCCUCCAAACACUGUGAAAUGGAAGCCAUUUGCCGCGUGUGUUAGUGUGGCUGAUGCACGUCUGGUCUGUUUGGACACGGAGGAACCACGAAUUCAAGCCAGGCCCCGGGCAGUGGAGGAGACACACUCAUGAGAGGGGACAGAGGGAGGCCCGGUCCUUCCAGGAGUCAGACCAGGGGGACGAAGACCAAAGGUGGGGUCGGGGCCGUGGUGGGGGAAGGUCCAGGCCUGGCGGCCAGAGGGGGCCAGAGCCAGGGGACGGGUGAGGAACCACCUUGCGGAGACGCCGGGGGAACCCGCAGCCCGGACCUUCCCGGGAGCGUGGAGCCUGUGGGAGCUGGUCGGCCCGGCUAGGAGACCUGGCAAAGCACCCUGCGCCUGGGCCCAGUUUCCUCAUCUGCAGACCGGGUGCCGGGAGGAUUAAGCGUCAGAUCUGGGAAGGGCCGGGUGGUGGCCGAUAUGCACUGAGCAGCUGCCGUCACUCCCAUGUGGGGGUGGUUUUUCCUGCAGCCGCUGCGCCCAAGAUGGGCACCGGGGCCGCUCUGUUAGCACCGGCCCCUGCGCAACUCUGACUCGGCAACAUCAGCAGCGAACACGGGGCGGAGGUGAGCGUCGCGAGCGGUAAACUCCACCUUCUCCUGUCCUUCCCGCCCCCCACUGUGGGCUCCUGGCAGGGCCGACGCUUCUACAACUGGCUUUUCCCUCAUUCCGCCUUGUGUGCCGCCAGGCUCGCGGGUGCACGGCGAGACCAGCUCCGUGACACUCGCACGGGGUGGCAAGGGCGCCAGGGAGAGGCUCUGUGGGCACCUGAGACCCCAAGGAGCCGCGAGCGCCAGCACAAGCUACAGACAGAAGGAAGCGGUGGCAGCCGGGGGCAGACGUCACGUUACAACUAACACAGAAAACAGACACGGUGAAGAGGGCAGCUUUCGGUCUGUGAAACAUGAAUCGGUGAUUAAAAGCAUGGGUUUCAGUCA